UUUAACAGAAGUAGAGAUACUCUAAGUUCAUUUGGUGUAGUUCUUACUAGAGAAACGCUAUGAACUGGUAUCUGGUGGAACAGAAAACCAUUUAGUCCUGGUCAAUUUGAGAAACAAGGGAAUUGAUAGAUCAAGAGUUGAGAAGGUUUUGGAAUCAAUUCAUAUUGCAGCUAAUAAAAACACUGUUCGUGGUGAUGUAUCUGCCAUUUGCCUGGUGGGAUUCACAUGGGAACACCGACUCUCACAUCUAGGGGUUUUGUAGAGCAAGAUUUUGUGAAAGUAGCUUAGUUCUUUGAUGCAGCUGUGAAGUUGGCAUUGAAGAUCAAGGCAGAUACUAAAGGAACAAAGUUGAAGGAUUUUGUAGCAACUAUAAAGUCUAAUGCUAACAUUCAAUCUGAGAUCGAGAAGCAAUGCCACGAGGUUGAGGAAUGUGCAAAGCAAUUUCCAACAAAGGCUAAAGAUUUAACAUUGCAAGG